rnacentral:rRNA from 1 species
UACGUAGGGUGCGAGCGUUAAUCGGAAUUACUGGGCGUAAAGCGUGCGCAGGCGGUUCGUUAAGUUCGUUGUGAAAGCCCCGGGCUCAACCUGGGAACGGCAAUGGAAACUGGCGGGCUUGAGUGUGGCAGAGGGGGGUGGAAUUCCGCGUGUAGCAGUGAAAUGCGUAGAGAUGCGGAGGAACACCGAUGGCGAAGGCAGCCCCCUGGGCCAACACUGACGCUCAGGCACGAAAGCGUGGGGAGCAAACAGG